GACGAACGCUGGCGGCGUGCCUAAUACAUGCAAGUAGAACGCACAGUUUAUACCGUAGCUUGCUACACCAUAAACUGUGAGUUGCGAACGGGUGAGUAACGCGUAGGUAACCUGCCUGGUAGCGGGGGAUAACUAUUGGAAACGAUAGCUAAUACCGCAUAAUAUUAAUUAUUGCAUGAUAAUUGAUUAAAAGAUGCAAUUGCAUCACUACCAGAUGGACCUGCGUUGUAUUAGCUAGUAGGUGAGGUAACGGCUCACCUAGGCGACGAUACAUAGCCGACCUGAGAGGGUGAUCGGCCACACUGGGACUGAGACACGGCCCAGACUCCUACGGGAGGCAGCAGUAGGGAAUCUUCGGCAAUGGACGAAAGUCUGACCGAGCAACGCCGCGUGAGUGAAGAAGGUUUUCGGAUCGUAAAGCUCUGUUGUAAGAGAAGAACGGGUGUGAGAGUGGAAAGUUCACACUGUGACGGUAUCUUACCAGAAAGGGACGGCUAACUACGUG
rnacentral:rRNA from 1 species